rnacentral:rRNA from 1 species
UGGGGAGCGAACCGGAUUAGAUACCCGGGUAGUCCACGCCGUAAACGAUGGAUACUAGCUGUUGGAGGUAUCGACCCCUUCAGUAGCGAAGCUAACGCGUUAAGUAUCCGCCUGUGGAGUACGGCCGCAAGGCUAAAACAUAAAGGAAUUGACGGGGACCCGCACAAGCGGUGGAUUAUGUUCUUUAAUUCGAUGAUAACCGAAGAACCUUACCAGGGCUUGACAUCCAGGGAAGGUCUGCGAAAGUAGACUGUGCCUUUUGGAACCCUGUGACAGGUGAUGCAUGGCCGUCGUCAGCUCGUGUCGUGAGAUGUUAGGUUAAGUCCUUCAACGAGCGCAACCCUUGUGAAUAGUUGUAUUUUUCUAUUCAGACUGCCCCGGUAACGGGGAGGAAGGAGGGGAUGAUGUCAGGUCAGUAUUUCCCUUACGUCCUGGGCUAGAAACGUAAUACAAUGGCUAGUACAAUGCGCAGCGAAGCCGCGAGGUGAAGCAAAUCGCAUCAAAGCUAGUCCCAGUUCGGAUUGUAGGCUGAAACUCGCCUGCAUGAAGUCGGAAUCGCUAGUAAUCGCAAAUCAGCAAGUUGCGGUGAAUACGUUCCCGGGUCUUGUACACACCGCCCGUCAAACCAUGAAAGUGACCAACACCCGAAGUCCGAUUCGUCGGCCUAAGGUGGGGGGCAUGAUUGGGGUU